rnacentral:rRNA from 1 species
GAUGAACGCUGGCGGCGUGCCUAAUACAUGCAAGUCGAGCGAAUGGAUUAAGAGCUUGCUCUUAUGAAGUUAGCGGCGGACGGGUGAGUAACACGUGGGUAACCUGCCCAUAAGACUGGGAUAACUCCGGGAAACCGGGGCUAAUACCGGAUAAUAUUUUGAACUGCAUGGUUCAAAAUUGAAAGGCGGCUUCGGCUGUCACUUAUGGAUGGACCCGCGUCGCAUUAGCUAGUUGGUGAGGUACCGGCUCACCAAGGCAACGAUGCGUAGCCGACCUGAGAGGGUGAUCGGCCACACUGGGACUGAGACACGGCCCAGACUCCUACGGGAGGCAGCAGUAGGGAAUCUUCCGCAAUGGACGAAAGUCUGACGGAGCAACGCCGCGUGAGUGAUGAAGGCCUUCGGGUCGUAAAACUCUGUUGUUAGGGAAGAACAAGUGCUAGUUGAAUAAGCUGGCACCUUGACGGUACCUAACCAGAAAGCCACGGCUAACUACGUGCCAGCCGCCGCCGUAA